AGGGAAGUAAAGUCGUAACAAGGUCUCCGUUGGUGAACCAGCGGAGGGAUCAUUACCGAGUUACAACUCCCAACCCCUGUGAACCUUACCUAUCGUUGCUUCGGCGGUCGCCCAGCGCCUCGGGCCUGGAGCCAGGCGCCCGUCGGAGGCCCAAAACCACUGUGUAUUAUUGGCAUUAUCUGAGUUAAACAAACAAAUAAAUCAAAACUUUCAACAACGGAUCUCUUGGUUCUGGCAUCGAUGAAGAACGCAGCGAAAUGCGAUAAGUAAUGUGAAUUGCAGAAUUCAGUGAAUCAUCGAAUCUUUGAACGCACAUUGCGCCCGCCAGUAUUCUGGCGGGCAUGCCUGUCCGAGCGUCAUUUCAACCCUCGCGGCCCAUCCCCGGGCCGCGGUGUUGGGGACCGGCACAGCCAAAGCCCUCCGGGGCGCGGCGCCGCCCCCCAAAUCCAGUGGCGGCCUCGCUGCAGCCUCCCCUGCGUAGUAGCACACCUCGCACCGGAGAGCGGCGCGGCCACGCCGUAAAAC
rnacentral:misc_RNA from 1 species